rnacentral:tmRNA from 1 species
GGGGGCGACAGGCAUCGAUCCAGCCCUUGAUCUGCUAGUGGCAUGCGGAGGUGGUCAGGAGGCCUCCUUAAACACCUGGCACAAAUCAAACGCCAAACACACGAACAAUGUGCAUGUGCCCUUCGCGGGGUAUAUGGCGUUACCGUUAGCCGCCUAAACACGGCUACCGUCCGCUCAUCUCUAGUCUGCGGGAUGAGGCCGGGCGUCGAAUGCAGACUGGUCUUAUCCGCGCGCCUUUGGCGGGUUUGACGAGAGCGACAGAAGGCUUACCCUUUAAAAUUGUGUCCGCUCAAGUUUAAAAGGGGAAAACAAAAAACGGACUAAGCAUGUAGAGGCUACAGACCUCAAAGGUUGGAGACGCGGGUUCAAUUCCCGCCGCCUCCACUC